rnacentral:rRNA from 1 species
AUUGAACGCUGGCGGCAGGCCUAACACAUGCAAGUCGAACGAGUGGCGGACGGGUGAGUAAUGUCUGGGAAACUGCACGAUGGAGGGGGAUAACUACUGGAAAACGUAGCUAAUACCGCAUACCAUCGGAUGUCACCCGAUGGGAUUAGCUCGUAGGGGGGGUAACGGAUCACCUAGGAGACGAUCCCUAGCUGGUCUGAGGGGAUGACCAGCCACCCUGGAACGGAGACACGGUCCAGACGCCUACGGGAGGCAGCAGUGGGGAAUAUUGCACAAUGGGCGCAAGCCUGAUGCAGCCAUGCCGCGUGUAUGAAGAAGGCCUUCGGGUUGUAAAGUACUUUCAGCGAGUAGGCGUUACUCGCAGAAGAAGCACCGGCUAACUCCGUGCCAGCAGCCGCGGUAAUAC